GCCAAAAAUUUAGCCAACUACCCCAGUCAAUUCAAAGAUAAACUAAAACAUUUAACAAACUUAGUAACGGCGAUUGAAAAAUUCACUAGAGCUACAAAUACGUACCGCAAGGGAAAAAUGAAAUAACAAUGAAAAACCUUAAGCACAUAAAAGUAGAGCCUCAACCUCGUACCUUUUGCAUCAUGAUUUAACUAGUCAUUAAUAGGCAAAAAGACUUUCAGUCUAUUCCCCCGAAACCAAGUGAGCUACUUAGGGGCAGCUUAAUGAGCCCAUCCGUCUCUGUUGCAAAAGAGUGGAGAGACCCCAUAGUAGCGGUGAUAUACCUAACGAACCUGGUGAUAGCUGGUUGCCCAGAAAAAGAACAUUAGUUCCGCCCAAAGUUUUUUUAACCCACAAAGUAACUGCAAGACUUUGGAGUAACUCAAAUAGGGUACAGCCUAUUUGAAACAGGAUACAACCUACACUAACGGGUAAUUAUGAACAUGUAAAUAACCCAGUAGGCCUAAGAGCAGCCACCAUAAAAAGCGUCAAAGCUUACUAACCAUAACAAAAAUCCCACAAACAAUACCGAACCCUUUCCCACUACUGAGCAUUUUUAUACUAAUAUAGAACCUUUAAUGUUAAAACUAGUAACAAGAAACAAAUUUUCUCCUAAUGUAAACUUAAGCCAGACAGAACCCCACACUGACACCUAACGACUAUAAGACCACAGUAACAACCCCCAAGAAAAAUUUACUUCUUUUUUCCCGUCAAACUAACACAAGAACAUUAACAGAAAGAUUAAAAGAAGAAGAAGGAACUCGGCAAACACAGAUCUCGCCUGUUUACCAAAAACAUCGCCUCUUGUGACCAAUAAGAGGUCCAGCCUGCCCAGUGAUUUAUUCAACGGCCGCGGUAUCCUAACCGUGCAAAGGUAGCACAAUCACUUGUUUUCUAAAUAAAGACUAGUAUGAACGGCAUCACGAAAAUCUAACUGUCUCCUCCUUCUAAUCAGUGAAACUAAUCCCCCCGUGAAGAAGCGGGGAUACUUCUAUAAGACGAGAAGACCCUAUGGAACUUUAAAUAUAUAGCACACAACCCCCACCCCACAGUUUCUGAACCUUAUCCCCCCUUACCCGCUGUCUAUUAACUUUUCGGUUGGGGCGACCUUGGAGGACAACCCACCCUCCAAAUUGAGAAACAAAAACUUACAAUUUUAUGUAUCAACAUAUUGACACCUAUUGACCCAGUAACCUGAUCAAUGAACCAAGCUACCCUAGGGAUAACAGCGCAAUCUUCUCCAAGAGCCCAUAUCAACGAGCAGGUUUACGACCUCGAUGUUGGAUCAGGGUAACCCAGUGGUGCAGCAGCUACUAAAGGUUCGUUUGUUCAACGAUUAAAACCCUACGUGAUCUGAGU
rnacentral:rRNA from 1 species